rnacentral:rRNA from 1 species
UACGGAGGGUGCAAGCGUUAUCCGGAUUCACUGGGUUUAAAGGGUGCGUAGGUGGGCAAGUAAGUCAGUGGUGAAAUCUCCGGGCUUAACCCGGAAACUGCCAUCGAUACUAUUUGUCUUGAAUACUGUGGAGGUCAGCGGAAUAUGUCAUGUAGCGGUGAAAUGCUUAGAUAUGACAUAGAACACCAAUUGCGAAGGCAGCUGGCUACACAAAUAUUGACACUGAGGCACGAAAGCGUGGGGAUCAAACAGG